UCUUCCGCAAUGGGCGCAAGCCUGACGGAGCGACGCCGCGUGAGGGAUGAAGGCCUUCGGGUUGUAAACCUCUUUUGCAGGGGACGAUACAAGACGGUACUCUGCGAAUAAGCCUCGGCUAACUACGUGCCAGCAGCCGCGGUAAAACGUAGGGGGCGAGCGUUGUCCCGAAUCACUGGGCGUAAAGCGCUUGUAGGCGGCUUGGUGUGUCCCGGAAUAAAUCCUACAGCUCAACUGUGGGACUGUUCGGGAAACUACCGAGCUUGAGAUCCGAAGAGGAAUGUGGAAUUCCUGGUGUAGCGGCGAAAUGCGUAGAUAUCAGGAGGAACACCUGUGGCGAAGGCGGCAUUCUGGUCGGCAUCUGACGCUAGAAGCGAAG
rnacentral:rRNA from 1 species